GUCACUUUCGUCACUGCUCGACUCCUCCUCCCACUCGUCGUCAGAAGGGUCUUAAAAAAGGCACACAUACAAAGAAUUGAUCCAGGAGACCAGCCAAAUGCAGGUUGACACAAGUGCCCGGGGUCAGCACUGCUGUCCAUGUCCACAACACUCACCGUCAGAGCAGCACAUGUUGACGAUGAUCUCCAAGGACGUUUGCUGGGCUGUCAGCAAGGCCGUUGCCUCCUUCAGCUCCUCCUUGUCCCUCUGGACAAAAACAAGCAGCCAC